UCUCCAUUUUUCCUCUCUCUCUCGCCCACCACAGCUGGGGCCAUUUGAGCCUUGCUACUGAGGAGGCUGAGAUCCAGAGGAUUACAGAUCCUCAUGGAAACCAGAAAAAUAUGAAAGACGUUAUCUCCUAUUAACUGGCAAAAUGCCAGAUGGACGGGGUGACUCAUGUGGUAGUAUGCUACUAAGCAAGUAAGCCAAAUGAGCUCCUGAUGCCCUGAGUUCGUACCCUAAAAUU